rnacentral:rRNA from 1 species
AAAGGAAUAGACGGGGGCCCGCACAAGCGGUGGAGCAUGUGGUUUAAUUCGAUGCAACGCGAAGAACCUUACCAGGGCUUGACAUCCCUCUGCCCGGCAUAGAGAUAUGCCUUUCCCUUCGGGGACAGAGGUGACAGGUGGUGCAUGGUUGUCGUCAGCUCGUGUCGUGAGAUGUUGGGUUCAGUCCCGCAACGAGCGCAACCCUUGUCUUUAGUUGCCAGCAGGUGAAGCUGGGCACUCUAGAGAGACAGCCGGUGAAAGCCGGAGGAAGGUGGGGACGAUGUCAAAUCAUCAUGCCCCUUAUGUCCUGGGCUACACACGUGCUACAAUGGCUGGUACAACGGGUUGCGAAGCCGUGAGGUGGAGCCAAUCCCUAAAAGCCAGUCUCAGUUCGGAUCGUAGGCUGCAACUCGCCUACGUGAAGCUGGAAUCGCUAGUAAUCGCGGAUCAGCAUGCCGCGGUGAAUACGUUCCCGGGCCUUGUACACACCGCCCGU